AACUUCUGUUAUGAUUAGGUGCUAUAUAAAUAAAAUUGAAUUUAAUUGAAUUGAAUAUAAGUGUACAGUUACAGUUCAGAGGUAGAUAAAGCUGGGACAGAGCAGAACUCACAGGGUAAAAUACUAACCAAGUUAGGUUGAAAAAUAAAUUGGGAUGGGAAUUGUAUUCAGUGUUACUGACUAAUAUAAUUUAUACACCCUAGUAAACUAAUGUUAAAAUAAAGGGCCAGAUCACUUUUGGGUGAGAGGGAGGGAAAGAUCUCUCUGCCAGCACAUAAGGCCUUACCACACUGAGGUUAAAGUGGAAGCCAGGUUACCAUAGCGACAUCUCUUAUCAUUAAGCCACAUUAACAGUCAACCAAGAAUUUUAAAGAUGUUCUAAUUCUGGGUUGUGCAUUAUCAUAGAAGAAUUAUUAAUACUUGAAAGUGAAUAACAUUUAAUUUACCUACACAGGUAUAACACAAUACUUCCAUCUCUUAUUACAGAAGACUGCUGUAAUGACUGACUGCUCACAUAAAAACAUUAGAGAGGAAGUGGCUGGAGCAGAAAGCUCCUCCAAAACAUGUGGAGGAGGCUCCCAAAAAGUGUAAGGGCACUUUCCGAGCACUGCAGAGGCAGACAUAAAGGCCUGCAUGGCUCAGAAGCUUAAAGACCUGAGGGUUAAAAGCCGGAGUCAGAGGCAUGAAGAGGAGUGACUACGAGUGCCAGAGGGAGUUACAGUUUUAUGUUUUACAGUUUUAAUCUAAGGAUAUUGUUUUAGAAUGCCAUUAUUUUGCAUGUUCUAUGGCAGUUUUCAAAUAAAUGAUCUAUGCAAUUUUAAAUGUUUUUUGGGGUGUUUUUUGCCUGCAUGUCCACACAUUUUCAGAACACUAAAUAUCUGUAUAUGAAUGAAGAGAGAGGAGAGUGUCAGUGUUCAAGGGAUAUAAAAACAAUGUUGAAGCAGUAUUAAUGGAUUAUGUCACUCCUUGUUAUUCUUUCAUCCUUUGAGUUUAGCAAAUACAGUCCUUCAAAAUGCUUUGGGGAAUGCAGGCAGGAAGUAUAAUGUUGCCACUGAGUCUGUGAGUAAGUUACAUCUGGCAAUGCUGUAUCUUUGAAAUGUUAUACCUAUUGUUUACUUAAUGUUAUACCUAUUGAAAUGUUAUGUCUUAGCUAUGAGCAGUUCCUAUUCUCACAGUAACUGGAUUACUAUUGAUACUGAAGAAAACUGUUAAUCAUCAUGCAAUAUCUGAGGUUAUAGGGAGUGUCCUUUUCUAUUUCAUAAAUUUAGAUGUCUUUGUCAUGUAAUUUCUGAGUUGAUUUGUGUUGUAUGUUUAUCCAGACUAUAACACAUGUGAUGAACUCUGAGUAAACAUUCACAAAUUCAUUGUGAAUUUUGCCACGUGUGCCCUUGAAUGCUUCACAUGUGACACAUCCGAAAACCACAUGUGCCCUGAAUGUAUCACAUGUGAAAUGUCCGAAAACCUUCAGUAUCAUCUGCCAUUACACGUACCACGUUGCAAGUUAGUGAACUAAUCUAAUGUCACUUCGUAAUUUCUAUCGUUAUACGCACCUGGUUGCUAAUUACCAAUAAACCUGAUCUAAAGUAAUUUCAGUAACGUCUGCUGUUAUAAGCACAGGGUUGCGAGUUUAUCAACACCAACACCAGCAGCUACAUCAUCCAGGGCGAACGACACCUCGA